rnacentral:rRNA from 1 species
UUGGAGGGCAAGUCUGGUGCCAGCAGCCGCGGUAAUUCCAGCUCCAAUAGCGUAUAUUAAAGUUGUUGCAGUUAAAAAGCUCGUAGUUGAAUUUCGGGAUUAGCAGGUCGGUCGUGCCACUGGUACGUACUGGUCUUGCUGAUUCCUCCCUCUUGACGAGCCGUAAUGCCAUUAAUUUGGUGUUGCGGGGAAUCAGGACUGUUACUUUGAAAAAAUUAGAGUGUUUAAAGCAGGCAUGCGCUUGAAUACAUUAGCAUGGAAUAAUGAAAUAGGACGUUCGAUCUUAUUUUGUUGGUUUCUAGGAUUGACGUAAUGAUUAAUAGGGAUAGUUGGGGGCAUUAGUAUUCAAUUGUCAGAGGUGAAAUUCUUGGAUUUAUUGAAGACUAACUACUGCGAAAGCAUUUGCCAAGGAUGUUUUCAUUAAUCAAGAACGAAAGUUAGGGGAUCGAAGACGAUCAGAUACCGUCGUAGUCUUAACCAUAAACUAUGCCGACUAGGGAUCGGAUGAUGUUAAUUUUUUAAUGACUCAUUCGGCACCUUACGGGAAAC